rnacentral:rRNA from 1 species
GAUUAACGCUGGCGGCGUGCAUAACACAUGCAAGUCGCACGAAGUGGCGGACGGGUGAGUAACGCGUGAGUAACCUGCCUUAGAGAAGGGGAUAGCCUUUGGAAACGAAGAAUAAUACCCUAUGCUCUAAGCGUGACUUGCGUCUGAUUGGUUCGUUGGUGUGGUAACGUCCCACAAAGACAGCGAUCAGUAGCCGGCUUGAGAGAGGUUACGGCCACAUUGGGACUGAGACACGGCCCAGACUCUACGGGAGGCAGCAGUGGGGAAUUUUGCACAAUGGGUGAAACCCUGAUGCAGCGACGCCGCGUGAUUUAGAAGGCCUUCGGGUUGUAAAAAUCUUUUCUAUGGGAAGCAGUACCAUAGGAAUAAGGACCGGCUAAUUACGUGCCAGCAGCCGCGGUAAUAC